GACCCUGUUGAGCUUGACUCUAGUUUGACAUUGUGAAAAGACAUAGGGGGUGUAGAAUAGGUGGGAGCUUCGGCGCCGGUGAAAUACCACUACCCUUAUCGUUUUUUUACUUAAUCAAUGAAGCGGAACUGGUCUUCAUCGACCAUUUUCUUGCAUUAAAGUCCUUCGCGGGCUGAUCCGGGUUGAUGACAUUGUCAGGUGGGGAGUUUGG
rnacentral:rRNA from 1 species